GAUGAACGCUGGCGGCGUGCCUAAUACAUGCAAGUCGAGCGAACAGACGAGGAGCUUGCUCCUCUGACGUUAGCGGCGGACGGGUGAGUAACACGUGGAUAACCUACCUAUAAGACUGGGAUAACUUCGGGAAACCGGAGCUAAUACCGGAUAAUAUAUUGAACCGCAUGGUUCAAUAGUGAAAGACGGUUUUGCUGUCACUUAUAGAUGGAUCCGCGCCGCAUUAGCUAGUUGGUAAGGUAACGGCUUACAAAGGCAACGAUGCGUAGCCGACCUGAGAGGGUGAUCGGCCACCCUGGAACUGAGACACGGUCCAGACUCCUACGGGAGGCAGCAGUAUGGAAUCUUCCGCAAUGGGCGAAAGCCUGACGGAGCAACGCCGCGUGAGUGAUGAAGGUCUUCGGAUCGUAAAACUCUGUUAUUAGGGAAGAACAAAUGUGUAAGUAACUAUGCACGUCUUGACGGUACCUAAUCAGAAAGCCACGGCUAACUACGUG
rnacentral:rRNA from 1 species